UACGUAGGGUGCAAGCGUUGUCCGGAAUUAUUGGGCGUAAAGAGCUCGUAGGCGGUUUGUUGCGUCGGCUGUGAAAUCCCGAGGCUCAACCUCGGGUCUGCAGUCGAUACGAGCAAACUAGAGUACUGCAGGGGAGACUGGAAUUCCUGGUGUAGCGGUGGAAUGCGCAGAUAUCAGGAGGAACACCGGUGGCGAAGGCGGGUCUCUGGGCAGUAACUGACGCUGAGAAGCGAAAGCGUGGGGAGCGAACAGG
rnacentral:rRNA from 1 species